CUCUCCCCCUCCCUUUUCGGCCUGCUUGGCCCAGCCAGCCCGCCAACAUUCCCUCCCCCCUCCUCUCUCUCUCCAGCAACUGACAUGCGGGGCCCACCCAUCAGCUUCUUCUCCUUCCCCAACUGGUCCCUUCGCACGCCCACGCCGCGCCCCGCUCCCCACUCCCCACGUCUCCUCUCCCCCACGCCUCGGCUGUUUUGUGGAGUGCCCGUGCCCGAGCCGCACUCCCUCUCCUCAUUCCCCUCCCAUUCUACUCACUCGCUCGCUCGAACGCGCACUGCAAGACCGCCACCGGAGCCGCGACUCGCCGCACAUCGCCCCGACGAACCGAGCCGUCCCGCUCCUCAUUGUUGCCCUCGGUGAGCUCGCCAUUCUCCCCACUCUCUCCCGCACUCUUCCCCACGCGAUUUGGUGCAUUCUAGUGCCUUAGCCGCGAGGUCCGACGGGCCGUUCAUGGCGCCGCCGCGAACCACCAUGGAAACUGCUUUCUCCGGCCGCGCAAAGACUGGGAACGCGCUCGCCUUGAUCUCCUCUCUCUCCCGGUGUUCUCGGUUCAAAAAACGGUGCCCCAUAGUCUCCUAACGCCCAAUGCUAGCAAGCUCCGAGGCUACCGACCAUGGCACGCCCCCCACAGGCGCACCCCUGGCCACGCUUUGGGCAUGGGCGGACUCGCGACGGUCUCCUCUUUCUUCCAGUUCAAACGGAAUCGAAAACCGUGCACCGUAGCUCCUUAUUCACUUGCUCCGGUGAGCUUCGGCCAGCCUGCCCUCCCUCUCUUUUUUUUGUUUUCUUUCUUUUCUUUUAAUCCUGCGCGUUCAUCUGUGAUCCAACGGCCGUGAGUAGCCCGUACCCAUUCGAGGGCAGCUUUGUUAAAGAGCCCCCAAGAACUUCUUUAUCCCACAUGCAGUCCCUAGCUGGAAUUUCCCUGGAUUUCUUUAUUUGUUUUAAAAACAAUUAUACUCAGCACUAUUUAUAGAAUUGCCACUAAAUCGUUUUAGUUAUAAAAUCGUCAUUUGAACUCCAGUUCGAUCCGUUCAAGUUGUGUUAGUUUCGCAAUUUCAUAAGUUUCGCGUUGGUACCACUGUUAUCUAGGUUCACCACUGUUAGUUUUCCUAAAUAAAUAUGCGUCCUUAGAUUGCUUUUGAUGUCACGUUUAUGGCGUAGAUUUUGCGUCGUAACUCCAUUUUCCGUGAAUUUCUCGUUGACGUGAUCGUAGCAGCGUGUUGAUAAUUUUGGAAAACUUCUUAUUUAGAUUUAUUUACUGUUGGUGUACUGUUCUAAUUAUAAUCUUGUUUGCUUCGUGUAUGUCUGUCUCCGAUUGUUUGUGUGUUGAUAAUCGAUGAUCGAGAUUAGAUGGUGGGCAUUACUUCGGUGAUCAAGAUCAGAGCCUUGGAAGCAAGUAAGGACAGCAGGACCAGCAGGACCAAUUGGAUCAAGGCAAGUAUAAGAUUUGGGAUUUAAUUCUAUGACCAUGUUCUGGUGACUAGAUUAAUAUAAAGCAACAUAUUAUAAUAAUGACUUUUUAGCAAGUUGAGGAUUUAUUCGUAAGUGAUAACGGGAUAAAAGUGCAACCAUGAGGGCUAUAAUGGCUCUGGCUUUAGUCAAGUAUGAGUAAAUUUUCUAUCUUGUUAGAGGUUACCUGAGUGGCGCAAAUGGGGGAUAGCAGACCGUGGAUUCCCUGCGUGGUAGAAUCACAUGGACUGACUACCGAAACCAAGCGGCCCUAACUUGUUAGACGAACCUUUAAAAAACUUCAUAGUGAUCCCUGCUGGCCUCCCUUGGAGGGGGUUAAGAGGUUAGCUACCUCAGGCGAAAGGGUAAAACAUGACUCAUGGUUAAAGAUGUACGACCUCUGC
rnacentral:lncRNA from 1 species